rnacentral:rRNA from 1 species
GCUUAACCGAAGAAGUGCAUCGGAAACUGGGAGACUUGAGUGCAGAAGAGGACAGUGGAACUCCAUGUGUAGCGGUGAAAUGCGUAGAUAUAUGGAAGAACACCAGUGGCGAAGGCGGCUGUCUAGUCUGUAACUGACGCUGAGGCUCGAAAGCAUGGGUAGCGAACAGGAUUAGAUACCCUGGUAGUCCAUGCCGUAAACGAUGAAUGCUAAGUGUUGGAGGGUUUCCGCCCUUCAGUGCUGCAGCUAACGCAUUAAGCACUCCGCCUGGGGAGUACGGCCGCAAGGUUGAAACUCAAAGGAAUUGACGAGGGCCCGCACAAGCGGUGGAGCAUGUGGUUUAAUUCGAAGCUACGCGAAGAACCUUACCAGGUCUUGACAUCUUCUGCAAAUCUUAGAGAUUAGACGUUCCCUUCGGGGACAUGGAGACAGGUGGUGCAUGGUUGUCGUCAGCUCGUGUCGUGAGAUGUUGGGUUAAGUCCCGCAACGAGCGCAACCCUUAUUAUCAGUUGCCAGCAUUCAGUUGGGCACUCUGGUGAGACUGCCGGUGACAAACCGGAGGAAGGUGGGGAUGACGUCAAAUCAUCAUGCCCCUUAUGACCUGGGGCUACACACGUGCUACAAUGGACGGUACAACG